rnacentral:rRNA from 1 species
GAUAAGGAGCUUGCUCCUUUGACGUUAGCGGCGGACGGGUGAGUAACACGUGGGUAACCUACCUAUAAGACUGGGAUAACUUCGGGAAACCGGAGCUAAUACCGGAUAACAUUUGGAACCGCAUGGUUCUAAAGUGAAAGAUGGUUUUGCUAUCACUUAUAGAUGGACCCGCGCCGUAUUAGCUAGUUGGUAAGGUAACGGCUUACCAAGGCGACGAUACGUAGCCGACCUGAGAGGGUGAUCGGCCACA